AAACUUUUUUCGGAAGAAAAAAUCUGUUCUUAUCAGUUUAAUAUCUUAUACGUCCCCUACGCGGGGACCAUAUAUUAAAUUGAUUUUUGGAACUGAGAGAUGGAAUAGGGGCUUGCUCCGUCAACUCCACGCAUCGACCUGGUAUUGCAGUACCUCCAGGAACGGUGCACUCCCA
ensembl:snRNA U2 U2 spliceosomal RNA